AUUGAACGCUGGCGGCGUGCUUAACACAUGCAAGUCGUGCGGUAACAGGCGUAGCAAUACGUGCUGACGAGCGGCGAACGGGUGCGUAAUACAUGGGAAUCUGCCCUUUAGUGGGGAAUAACCCGGCGAAAGCCGGGCUAAUGCCGCAUAAGAUCUUCGGAUGAAAGCGGGGGAUCGUAAGACCUCGCGCUGAUGGAUGAGCCCAUGUCGGAUUAGCAGUUGGUGAGGUAAAGGCUCACCAAGGCGACGAUCCGUAGCUGGUCUGAGAGGACGGCCAGCCACACUGGGACUGAGACACGGCCCAGACUCCUACGGGAGGCAGCAGUGGGGAAUAUUGGACAAUGGGGGAACCCUGAUCCAGCGACGCCGCGUGUGUGAAGAAGGCCUGCGGG
rnacentral:rRNA from 1 species